UAAGAAAUUCUGCAAGACGAAACGAAACGAAACCUAACACUUUCAGAAAAAAGAAAUUUUAGGGGAAAACCAAACCAUCAAGAAGAAUUAGGGUAAAAGCAUGGAGAUGAAGACUAAGGAUUAUUCCGAACACGAUCUAGAUCACGCUUUUGAUCCUAAUGAUUCCGAGGAUAUCACUAGAUGGGAAGUAUUAUUAUUGAAAUUAACACAAUUUCAACCUGACGCCGAAUCGAAGACCAAUGCCAUAUUAGCGGCUAUAUCCAAACUUGAGCAAUCACUGGUUAAAGAUCCAUUUAACCCCAAUACAGUAUGGUGGUUGGGUAACGCGUAUAAGGAGCGUGGAUUAAUGACUCCUUACUACAAUGUAGCUGCAAUUUAUUUUGAUAGAGCGAUUGAAUUUUAUGAACUAGCAUUAAUGGAGUAACCAGAGGAUCAAAUAUAUCUCAAGUCUUUGGAAUCAACUGCUGAGGUAAAGACAUGUUUAGCCCAACAGGCAGCAGGAGCAGAAAACUCUUCCACUUCAUAUGAAGAGCAUGGUUCUUCAAGACUCCGGUAGCAAUAUCUCUAUAAAAGAUUGGAUUACUAAAUGGUUAACUAAUGGCAGUAGCUCAGAACAAAUAGGAAACUACAAAGGUUGCAGAAUAGUAUCCGGACAAGUAAGAGAAGCAGAGGAAGUGGAAAGUCUUGCGUUUUUUGAAGCUGUGAGAUGGAUCAAAACUCAAGGCCUUUCAACUGUCUGCUUAAGAGGAGAUGCAAAAAAAAGUAGUUUCUUCUUUGACCUUCUUUAAACUAAUGACCAGAUUAGCUGGUUUAAUGAAACAGUUCUAGAUGAUUGUCUGUCGUUAUUAGUCUUUGUCUUUCUUUAAAGUUGCUUUUAUUGGUAGGGAUCUUAAUGGUGUAGCUGUUUAGUAGGAAGUUCAAUGUCACAGGUGGAUGGGUCAAGUCUGUACCCCCAUUUCAUACCGUAAACUCUUUUAUUUUGGAAUCUCCCAGUUAUGCCCGUGCAUUAUUUUUUUAGUUUGAAUUGUUCUUCAUAUAGAAAUCAUGCAUGGGUUGUAUUUUCAAGAAAUCAGGUUUCUCUAUCCUCGGGAAUCAGGAAGAAUGAUUUGCAAGGCCGUCAGAUUAAUUGGUGUUAGAAAUAUAUAAUGUGACUCAGCCGGGGAUCACCCUUUGGCCUUUUCCCUUUUUUUUUGUUUUUUUUGUUGUUGUAUGGUUCGUUAUACACCUAUUUUUUUCCUUU